rnacentral:lncRNA from 1 species
UUUACUUGACAACAUUUAAUGAAGGCCUGAUGUUACAUAUAAAGACAUGUAAAUGUAUUCCAUCUAUUUCACAACCACAUAAUGCAUCCUUUGCAUUCAAGUUACAAACAUACAGUUUAAUAUAGUCUACAGAUGUCUUUAUGAAAGAUGAAAGGCAAAUGAUUUCUAACCAAUGAAUGAGGCUUUAAAAUGAUCAGAGGUUAUCCAAUAAAUAUAAAGUUCAUAUGUGACACGACAGACAAUAAUAUUCAAUCAUGGUAUGAAGUCUACAUAUUUGAUAGAUUUAAUUUCUAUAUUACAAAAAAAUAAACAUAAUUUAAACUAUCUGGGGGAAAGGAUAAUGGUAACAGUGACAUAACAAAAUAACUACAAAAUAACAAUAUGAUCUGUUCCAGUAGUUUGCUAUUUAAUAGCCGUAAUAAUUUAAAUUUAAAAUAGACAAAUGGAUAAAUUAACAAAAAUAACGCAUUGCUGUAUAGCCAGUCUUAAUAAACAAAUGAAUUUGUACUAAAACAAUUGAUGGUUUUUAUCUUGAGCAAACAAGUGCAAUUCCAAUACUACUAAUUUCAAAAUAAUUUAUGAUGGUUUAACUGAAGAAGCUUAAUUUGAUACUAAUUAAUGAAUGUGAAUGACUAUCAUUUGGUUUGUAGACUAAAACAAUUCUAGGGGAGUAGGGAUAACUUGUAUUUCU